GAUGAACGCUGGCGGCGUGCCUAAUACAUGCAAGUCGAGCGAACGGACGAGAAGCUUGCUUCUCUGAUGUUAGCGGCGGACGGGUGAGUAACACGUGGAUAACCUACCUAUAAGACUGGGAUAACUUCGGGAAACCGUAGCUAAUACCGGAUAAUAUUUUGAACCGCAUGGUUCAAAAGUGAAAGACGGUCUUGCUGUCACUUAUAGAUGGAUCCGCGCUGCAUUAGAUAGUUGGUAAGGUAACGGCUUACCAAGGCAACGAUGCAUAGCCGACCUGAGAGGGUGAUCGGCCACACUGGAACUGAGACACGGUCCAGACUCCUACGGGAGGCAGCAGUAGGGAAUCUUCCGCAAUGGGCGAAAGCCUGACGGAGCAACGCCGCGUGAGUGAUGAAGGUCUUCGGAUCGUAAAACUCUGUUAUUAGGGAAGAACAUAUGUGUAAGUAACUGUGCACAUCUUGACGGUACCCAAUCAGAAAGCCACGGCUAACUACGUG
rnacentral:rRNA from 1 species